ensembl:lncRNA
GCACAGUAUAUGUUAACAAUAAAUAAUAGGUUAUUAUAAUUGCUUUUCUUUAUGUAAAAACAAAUAUAAUACAAAAUAACAUGAAAUAUAAUACAAAGAAUGUUUGUCUUUUUAAAAUGUUGCACAGAUAUUUCUGUUCAUUCUUUUAUACAUAGAAACAUUUGUACAAAGGGAUGGCUAUGGAAGGGCACUGUCCUGCUUGUAGAUAUGGUCACACAGUUGUUUUACAUAUGUACAUGCCAUACAGAACACGUAACAGCAGCUAAGGGCGGGCAGGGGAUGGACGGAGGUGUUAUCACACACACGCACACAGACACAUACAAACAACACACACAUACACAUCCACUGUUCAGAUCAGAGAGAAUCCUUAUCUACUGUAGCGAUAAAAUACACUCAGACACUCGCUUUAUCUAGAGAGGUGUGAUAUAUCCCCACCAGUGUUAGAAGAUAGCAUUGGAAGAGCUGUGGGAUAGUGUUGUUAAUUUUCAUCUUCUACCUUACAGAGCAGAAUACGCUCUGAAGAAGCCAGCAUGGUAUUCUCUCUCUCUACCUCUCUCUCUCUCCAUCUUUUUCAUUAUCUCUACAGCUCUCUCUCUUUUUCUCACUCCCUCUACAUCUCUCUCUCUCUACUUCUACCUCUCUCUCUCCCUCUCCUUUCUCUCUAUCCUGUUUCAGUUUGAAUGAAUAACACACAUCCUGAGAUUUCACAUUAGGACUAGGAACUAGGAAGCUUGGAGUUAUGCAUCAUCACCUACUGUAUGAUAAGCAGACAGGUGGUAGUUAGUUACAGUUCUGUAUGAUAAGCAGACAGGUGGUAGUUAGUUACAGUUCUGUAUGAUAAGCAGACAGGUGGUAGUUAGAUACAGUUCUGUAUGAUAAGCAGACAGGUGGUAGUUAGUUACAGUUCUGUAUGAUAAGCAGACAGGUGGUAGUUAGAUACAGUUCUGUAUGAUAAGCUGACAGGUGGUAGUUAGAUACAGUUCUGUAUGAUAAGCAGACAGGUGGUAGUUAGUUACAGUUCUCUAUGAUAAGCUGACAGGUGGUAGUUAGUUACAGUUCUCUAUGAUAAGCAGAAGGGUGGUAGUUAGUUACAGUUCUCUAUGAUAAGCAGAAGGGUGGUAGUUAGUUACAGAUACAGUUGAAGUCAGAAGUUUACAUACACUUAGGUUGGAGUCAUUAAAACUCGUUUUUCAACCACCCCACAAAUUUCUUGUUAACAAACUAUAGUUUUUGGCAAGUCGGUUAGGACAUCUACUUUGUGCAUGACACAAAUAAUUUUGUUUACAGACAGAUUAUUUCACUUAUAAUUCACUGUAUCACAAUUCAGAAGUCAGAAGUUUACAUACACUAAGUUGACUGUGUCUAUUAACAGCUUGGAAAAUUCCAGAAAGAAGCUUCUGAUAGGCUAAUUGACAUAAUUUGAGUCAAUUGGAGGUGUACCUGUGGAUGUAUUUCAAGGCCUACCUUCAAACUCAGUGCCUUUGCUUGACAUAAUGGGGAAAUCAAAAUAAAUAAGCCAAGACCUCAGAAAAAAAUGUAGACCUCCACAAGUCUGGUUCAUCCUUGGGAGCAAAUUCCAAAUGCCUGAAGGUACCACGUUCAUCUGUAUAAACAAUAGUACACAAGUAUAACACCAUGGGACCACGCAGCUGUCAUACCGCUCAGGAAGGAGACGCGUUCUGCCUCCUAGAGAUGAGUGUACUUUGGUGCGAAAAGUGCAAAUCAAUCCCAGAACAACCGCAAAGGACCUUGUGAAGAUGCUGGAUGAAACAGGUUCCACAAGUAUCUAUAUCCACAGUAAAACGAGUCCGCUCAGAGAGGAAAAAGCCACUGCUCCAAAACUGCCAUAAAAAAGCCAGACUACGGUUUCCAACUGCACAUGGGGACAAAGAUCGUAGUUUUUGGAGAAACAUCCUCUGGUCUGAUGAUACAAAAAUAGAACUGUUUGGCCAUAUUGACCAUCGUUAGGUUUGGAGGGAAAGGGGGAGGCUUGCAAGCCGAAGAACACCAUCCCAAUCAUGUUGUGGGGGUGCUUUGCUGCAGGAGGGACUGGUGCACUUCACAAAAUAGAUGGCA